CACGUAGUUAGCCGGUCCUUAUUCUUCCGGUACCGUCAUCCACACCUAAUAUUAGUAAGUGCGAUUUCUUUCCGGACAAAAGUGCUUUACAACCCGAAGGCCUUCUUCACACACGCGGCAUUGCUGGAUCAGGGUUGCCCCCAUUGUCCAAAAUUCCCCACUGCUGCCUCCCGUAGGAGUCUGGGCCGUGUCUCAGUCCCAGUGUGGCUGAUCGUCCUCUCAGACCAGCUACUGAUCGUCGCCUUGGUGAGCCUUUACCUCACCAACUAGCUAAUCAGACAUCGGCCGCUCCUAUAGCAUGAGGCCUUGCGGUCCCCCACUUUCACCCUCAGGUCGUAUGCGGUAUUAGCUAAUCUUUCGACUAGUUAUCCCCCACUACAGGGCACGUUCCGAUGUAUUACUCACCCGUUCGCCACUCGCCAUCAAUCUAGCAAGCUAGAUCAUGCUGCCGUUCGACUUGCAUGUGUAAGGCAUGCCGCCAGCGUUC
rnacentral:rRNA from 1 species